GGACAGACGGGGACAUUCGUAUUGCGGCGCUAGAGGUGAAAUUCUUGGACCGUCGCAAGACGAACUAAGGCGAAAGCAUUUGUCAAGAAUGUUUUCAUUAAUCAAGAACGAAAGUUAGAGGUUCGAAGGCGAUCAGAUACCGCCCUAGUUCUAACCAUAAACGAUGCCAGCCAGCGAUUAGCCUGAGUUCCUUAAAUGACUCGGCUAGCAGCUUCCGGGAAACCAAAGCUUUUCGGUUCCGGGGGAAGUAUGGUUGCAAAGCUGAAACUUAAAGGAAUUGACGGAAGGGCACCACCAGGAGUGGAGCCUGCGGCUUAAUUUGACUCAACACGGGAAAACUUACCUGGUCAGGACACUGGAAGGAUUGACAGAUUGAGAGCUCUUUCUUGAUUCAGUGGGUGGUGGUGCAUGGCCGUUCUUAGUUGGUGGAGCGAUUUGUCUGGUUAAUUCCGAUAACGAACGAGACUCUAGCCUACUAAAUAGACUGCUCAACUUUAUAGCUGCAUCACCUUGCAGUUGCUUCGGUGGCUGUAAGGCUGUGGUGACGUUGGCAGUGCUUCUUAGAGGGACAGGCGGCGGUUCAGCCGCACGAAACAGAGCAAUAACAGGUCUGUGAUGCCCUUGGAUGUCCAGGGCCGCACGCGCGCUACACUGAAGUGAUCAGCGUGCAAUUAACGUUUCCUACUCCGUCAGGAGUGGGUAACCCGUUGAACCUUCUUCGUGAUUGGGAUAGGGGAUUGUAAUUAUUCCCCUUGAACGAGGAAUUCCCAGUAAGCGCAAGUCAUAAGCUUGCGUUGAUUACGUCCCUGCCCUUUGUACACACCGCCCGUCGCUACUAC
rnacentral:rRNA from 1 species